rnacentral:rRNA from 1 species
CGUGAGUGAUGAAGGUUUUCGGAUCGUAAAGCUCUGUUGUUAGGGAAGAACAAGUGCCGUUCAAAUAGGGCGGCACCUUGACGGUACCUAACCAGAAAGCCACGGCUAACUACGUGCCAGCAGCCGCGGUAAUACGUAGGUGGCAAGCGUUGUCCGGAAUUAUUGGGCGUAAAGGGCUCGCAGGCGGUUUCUUAAGUCUGAUGUGAAAGCCCCCGGCUCAACCGGGGAGGGUCAUUGGAAACUGGGGAACUUGAGUGCAGAAGAGGAGAGUGGAAUUCCACGUGUAGCGGUGAAAUGCGUAGAGAUGUGGAGGAACACCAGUGGCGAAGGCGACUCUCUGGUCUGUAACUGACGCUGAGGAGCGAAAGCGUGGGGAGCGAACAGGAUUAGAUACCCUGGUAGUCCACGCCGUAAACGAUGAGUGCUAAGUGUUAGGGGGUUUCCGCCCCUUAGUGCUGCAGCUAACGCAUUAAGCACUCCGCCUGGGGAGUACGGUCGCAAGACUGAAACUCAAAGGAAUUGACGGGGGCCCGCACAAGCGGUGGAGCAUGUGGUUUAAUUCGAAGCAACGCGAAGAACCUUACCAGGUCUUGACAUCCUCUGACAAUCCUAGAGAUAGGACGUCCCCUUC